CCUACGGGGCGCUGCAGUGGGGAAUAUUGGACAAUGGGCGAAAGCCUGAUCCAGCCAUGCCGCGUGUGUGAAGAAGGCCUUCGGGUUGUAAAGCACUUUCAGUGGGGAAGAAAGCCUUGGGGCUAAUACCCUCGAGGAAGGACAUCACCCACAGAAGAAGCACCGGCUAACUCCGUGCCAGCAGCCGCGGUAAUACGGAGGGUGCGAGCGUUAAUCGGAAUUACUGGGCGUAAAGCGCGCGUAGGCGGUCUGAUAAGCCGGUUGUGAAAGCCCCGGGCUCAACCUGGGAACGGCAUCCGGAACUGUCAGGCUAGAGUGCAGGAGAGGAAGGUAGAAUUCCCGGUGUAGCGGUGAAAUGCGUAGAGAUCGGGAGGAAUACCAGUGGCGAAGGCGGUCUUCUGGACUGACACUGACGCUGAGGUGCGAAAGCGUGGGUAGCAAACAGGAUUAGAUACCCUUGUAGUC
rnacentral:rRNA from 1 species